UACGAAGGGGGCUAGCGUUGCUCGGAGUCACUGGGCGUAAAGGGUGCGUAGGCGGGUCUUUAAGUCAGGGGGGAAAUCCUGGAGCUCAACUCCAGAACUGCCUUUGAUACUGAAGAUCUUGAGUUCGGGAGAGGUGAGUGGAACUGCGAGUGUAGAGGUGAAAUUCGUAGAUAUUCGGAAGAACACCAGUGGCGAAGGCGGCUCACUGGCCCGAUACUGACGCUGAGGUGCGAAAGCGUGGGGAGCAAACAGG
rnacentral:rRNA from 1 species